rnacentral:rRNA from 1 species
UACGUGGGAGACGAGCGUUGUCCGGAGUUACUGGGCGUAAAGGGUGCGCAGGUGGCGGCGCGCGUGGGGGGUGAAAUCGCCCGGCUUAACUGGGCGGGGGCCUUCCAGACGGCGUGGCUUGAGCAGCGGAGGGGGACGUGGAAUUCCGGGUGGAGCGGUGAAAUGCGUAGAGAUCCGGAGGAACACCGACGGCGCAGGCAGCGUCCUGGCCGAUUGCUGACACUGAGGCACGAAAGCUGGGGGAGCAAACAGG